ACAGAGGGAGGAAGAAGCGGCGGCGGCGGCGGCGGCGGCGGCGGCUCCUCUUUGCAGAGGGGGAAACUCUUGGGCUGAGAGCAGGAAUAAUGCGGUAGGCAAGGCGGGCUGCUGGCUCCCCCGGCUCCGGCAGCAGCGGCGGCAGCCCGAGCAGCGGCAGCAGCAGCGGCAGCACCCCAGGCGCUGACAGCCCCGCCGGCCGGCUCCGUUGCUGACCGCCGACUGUCAAUGGAGCUGGAAAACAUCGUGGCCAACACGGUCUUGCUGAAAGCCAGGGAAGAUCUGUUGCCUUUCUUCUGAGUGAACAGUGGUGAGAAAAAAUUUUGCAAGGCCCCGCUUUUCCUUUCUUCACAGGCCAGCAGUAGCCAUAUCUGAUCAAAAAAGAUACCUGAAGGAAUAUUGAUCACAUUUUCCUGAGGCCCUAGCAAGCACAGGAAUUGAGAAGUUAGGACUGGAACAACUUUGUCAUUUGUCACAAUUGCCAAACAUUAGAAUACACAGGAACCGUUUUUUCAGGUAACUCUGUGACUUGGCUGGAUCUUCCUGAUCAUCAAGAUUAGCACCUCGGGGCCUGGAAGAGGUUAGGGAGGGCAGGAAGAAGGAGUGAGCCAGCAUCCAGCUCUGCGUGGGGCAGGCUAUGGCGUGGACAGACUUAACAUUCCACAGCACGGCUGAAAGCCCUGGACCUCUUUCCCUUGCACCCCUAAUUCAUGGUGAUAAAACCAAAACAUGGUGAAUUAGGUUAUUAGAACGUUGGAACAUCUCUGAAGCUCAAAGCCCUCUUAUGGCUAUGUGAAGGCAUACGUGGAGGCAUACGUACUCCACCCUGAAGCUUCUCCUUCAAUUUUAAUGUUAAUCUUACCAAGCGACAGCUUUCAUCCUGGUUAAGGCAGCUCGGUGUGUGUAAAAGCAGCCUGGCCUGUUAAACACAAUGCCGUUAAAUCAAACUGCCUUUCUUUUUUUUUUUUUAAAGUUUCCUUUUCAGUACUGACAACUUGGAGGUAGAGAAACCAAAAGCAAUGUUUUCAGAAGGCCUUUUGCUUUCUUAAAGAUUUCAAACGAUGAUUGUAGUUAAUCUGGCUGCCUGUUUGAAAAACCAUCAGAUAAAUGCCCACAAGGCUCUCAUCUUUCAGUAGCUUAGCUGCUGCUUGUCAGAUUCUAAACUCCAAAGUGCUUGACUCUUCCAGUGCCCAAACUAAUCCUUGUUUAAAUUAUGUCUUCAGAAGCUAUAACUCUUAUAGUGGCUUGCUAAAUGAUACCCUUUGGAUCUGGGCUGAAGACUUCCAGAAUGCCCAAGUGAAUUUCAGGAGCGGGCUCAAUGUUUAACCAAAUUCACCUUUACCAAGGGCUAUUCAAUCCAUAUCUGGGAUGUUUUAAAUAAAACUAUCCAGGACUGUGGGCAAUAUUCAAAGUUAAUAUUUGUUGCCAAUAUGUUUGGAGUGCAAGAUAAAGCAUUAUAAUGUCUAGACAUUUUUGAAAUAAAAAAGUCUUCUGGUUACCAAAA